rnacentral:tRNA from 1 species
GGGGGUAUAGCGCAGUUGGUAGCGCGCAUGCUUUGCAAUCUCUGAUCUGCAUGAGGUCCAGGGUUCGAUUCCCUGUGUCUCCA